GUGGUCAAAGAACUAAAUAAACAAAUCGAAAUCAGACUGUUACCUUUUAUGGUCCAAUAUCUAAAAUCCAUGUGUAGAUUUAUUUGAUUCAAGUAGUGUCAAAUAAAGGGGUACAAGGGGAGAGGUUGUGGAUUUUUUUUAUAUAACAUUUUCAAAUGUUUAGCAUUGAAACAAAAAAAGGGUACAUUAUCCUGAACUAAGGUACAAUUUAUGUCGCUAUAAUAUGAUUAGAAAAAAUUAUGAAGUGUUAUUUUCAUUACUGGUACCUCUAAUAAACUAAAAGAGGGGCAGUGGAGGAUCCAGAAAUUUUCA
rnacentral:lncRNA from 1 species